GUCUUGGUGAAGGCCUACAAAGGUUUUUACAGAGACAACACUUGUCCUUCACAUGUGAUUCUGCCAAGCACCUGGGGCAACUGCUGCGGGGUUCACUAACAGGCAUAGGCCUGUUGCAGUCCAAGCAGGGUUUAACCCCUGGAGACCAGAGCAUGCCCCACCUGGAGUGAAGUCCCCGAUGGGACUCUAACUUCUAAUUGCACUUAACACCUACUUGGGCACGCAAGGGGCAUGCACACCUAGAAUGGAAUCAACAUGAACAAGCUCUCAAAGAAGACCCUCAGUUACUGCACAAGGUUAGUUCGUCGUGGUGGAGCCAUGAAGGAGCCAUGCCGUUGGGUGAAGUUUCUCCAGGUCCAGAUGGAGGACUUGACCAUUGUCCUGAGAGAGAAGAUUCUGUAGG